AUGAACGCUGGCGGCGUGCCUAAUACAUGCAAGUCGAGCGCACAGACGAGGAGCUUGCUCCUCUGACGUUAGCGGCGGACGGGUGAGUAACACGUGGAUAACCUACCUAUAAGACUGGGAUAACUUCGGGAAACCGGAGCUAUACCGGAUAAUAUAUUGAACCGCAUGGUUCAAUAGUGAAAGACGGUUUUGCUGUCACUUAUAGAUGGAUCCGCGCCGCAUUAGCUAGUUGGUAAGGUAACGGCUUACCAAGGCAACGAUGCGUAGCCGACCUGAGAGGGUGAUCGGCCACACUGGAACUGAGACACGGUCCAGACUCCUACGGGAGGCAGCAGUAGGGAAUCUUCCGCAAUGGGCGAAAGCUUGACGGAGCAACGCCGCGUGAGUGAUGAAGGUCUUCGGAUCGUAAAACUCUGUUAUUAGGGAAGAACAAAUGUGUAAGUAACUAUGCACGUCUUGACGGUACCUAAUCAGAAAGCCACGGUUAACUACGUG
rnacentral:rRNA from 1 species